AUGCUUUUGUAGUUCGUAAGUAUGAUGAUUCGGUGCUCACGCUGCUGUGUGAUAUAUGAAUCCCUCAAACCCUGUUAUGAUGUGGGGAAAAAAAAGUCAGUAG
ensembl:snoRNA